rnacentral:tmRNA from 1 species
GGGGGCGACCUGGUUUCGACAGGGGUUACGAAGCAGCGCAGGGCAUGCCGAGGACUGGUGACCUCGUAAAUCCAGCCGGAAAUCAAUAACUGCUAACGACAACUCGUACGCAGUAGCCGCUUAAUUGCGGCUUCCCUCACACCGUCUCGUCCCUGGGGCGGGCCAGCGAUGGCGCGUGAGGUCAUUUACAGGGAAUCGCGUGAUGCCGGGUCACCUGGCAUGGCGUUAAAUCUAGGUGACUCGCCUUGUCGCAGCGUGUGCGUCCGCGUCGGCAAGGUCAAAACCAAAUGACGACACUACGCAUGUAGAACUGUCUGUAGAGGGCUUCUGGACGCGGGUUCGAUUCCCGCCGCCUCCACCA